CAAAGUUAAAUAUUCUGCAUGAUGGUCAAGAAAAAGGAAGAGAAGAAUCUCUAACUGGUCUGGGGUUGAGAAAAGAUUUAACUAUAAACUUUUAGAAUUCUUUUUUUUUUUUUUUUAAACUUUUAGAAUUCUAAAACAAAAACUAAAGCAGAAGUUUCUUACAAUGACCCUUCUGAUUGAUGUCUGGGCAUGAGACUUUAUGGCCACACUCUCUCUGCUCACAUGAACCUAUGUAGGAACCCAUGAUUCCAAACAAAGCCAAGGGAGAUACAAAGUUGAAUUCUAAGAAUGAACAUUCAUCACAAUACGGUCUCUAAAAGGCUGUUAUCCUCUCCUGAUCUUCCCUAGAACCUUAGGCACAUGGUGACAACCCUGAAUAUGUAUCCCUUACCCUCAUCUUGCAGGAAAACAGAUACGUGGCUUUGGGUCUAGUUAGAACAUCUAGUCCUAUCUCCUUAAUGAUAGCUGCUUAAACAAAAGGUAAAACAGAGAUGAAGUUUACUACCUGAUGCAGAUGAUGCAUCAGAUUCCAAUCCUCCAGCUUGUUGCUGAUAAAACUGUUGGUAAUCCUGUGAGUACUGAAGAAAAGUCCACUGUUAAAGCUGCUAUUCUCAGACCUGCUCUGGAGAGCAGAAGUUGGAUGCUGGUCAAAUCUACCUACCUGAGCAUAUUGGGCAUAGCCAUCUUGGCCUGGCUGCAGGUAACUGUAGUCAACACUGCCUCCUUCACCACUCUGAGACUAUAAAAUGUCAAAAGAAAAGGAUACACACAGGUGAGGUUAGUGGACAUCAAGGAAAGAAGCCAGGAAGUACUUCCUAAAACUGACCUUGGAGAGCUCCUAAGGCACCAGAGAUCACUUCUGUGAAUUUGGGCACCACCACCACCACGCUAUUUUGAAAAAAAUUUUAACAAUUCCUUCUUACCUGGGUAGAUGACCACUGAGCAGCAGCAAUGGCUGUACUGGCCACAGAGAAGGCGCUGACCCGGUUACCAUCUGGGAGGACCAAGUCUCUGAAAACACAAAAAUUCCAUCAUGUGGUUCUAUCUCAGCAUGCUCCCAAUCUGCCAAGGAAAUAGCAAUUCACUCUAGCUUUUGUUGAGAGCUCUCAAAUGCUAGCAAGGCCUCAUUUCUCCAUGGGUGAGUUCCUUAGUGGGCAAAUGUCUCUGCAGUAUCACUGUUUUACUGUGUAUCCUACCUUCUAGUAAGGUGUUUCCUGGGUGAGCAAUGAUACUACAAAUGGGAAAUUUACAUCUCUGGACUGAGGCUCACUCUAUAUGAAACUAUUAGCAUGCUGUUCUGGAAAGAAUUAUUUCCAGAUGGGUUUGCACUAUCCUGAAGCUGUUUGCAUAGCACAUAUUAUCCACCCAUCUGUCAUGUGUGCCUCUGUCCGUUCUGAAGUUUUCUGGCAACUGUUUUUUCAGGACAGGAGAAAUAUACUGUAAAAGAAGACAACUGUCUCCCUCCCAACCUUGGCAACCGGGGAGGAUUGUAUCUCAGUGUUGAGAACAUGGGCUUAGGGUACAGUUAGCAAAGCACCCCUGGGCAAGUGUGUAAGUACAGCGGUUUGAAAUAAAAAUAAAGCUACUCACUUUCUGGCACUUUUUGCAAAAUCAACCCCAAUAGUUUUGCCAUCAAUUUUCAAAGGAGGGUGGAGACUCUGCAAUAUCUGAAGGAGCUGAGAGGCAUCCUGAAGGAGAAUGUCAAGAAAGACAACUUUGUCAUGUAAUUAAAAAUCUCUCCCUACCACCAACUCCAUUCGAAGUUUAGCUUUCUAUUAAAAAAACAAACAGUAAUUCAUUAUUGUUUGUGCAUAUGAAUCCUUGAGGAGAAAAACCAGCCCUCUUUCUUCCAGUACAUGAAGGUAUUUCAUAUGUUUAAAGGAGUAAAUGCUAAAUCAAUCUAAAAUAAAGGAAGAAGGAAAAAUUAAACUGUGGCUCAAACUUUAGUUAUGCUAAUUAUCUACAGGUAUACACAUUAUUUUUUACCACUUAUCACAUGUAGCCCUGACCUCUGGGCUCCAGGAGCCUUGCAGACAGCAUUACAAUUAGAUGAACCGCAUUUGCCUCUUAAAGCCUAAUUUCUUGUAAAAGGAAAGAUUGAGUGAGCACCUCACCAUUGCAGAAGACAGCUGCACAAAUGCGAAGCCCCUGUUCUGCUGGGUCUGUUUGUCUUUUAUGAGGCGAAUAUUAUUGACAGCUAAGGAUGCGUAGGGGGACAGUGCUGUCAUGAUGGAAUCCACCACAGUGUGCGGGGCUAUGUUUCGAAGUAUGAUUGCUGGAGGUGAAAGAGACAAAUGACAUAUAUGUGCAUUCCCACCACCGAUACUUUUUUUUUUGUUUAAAAAAUUUUUUUUUUUAUUUAUUUAUGAUAGUCACACAGAGAGAGGAGAGAGGCUGAGACACAGGCAGAGGGAGAAGCAGGCUCCAUGCACCGGGAGCCCGACGUGGGAUUCGAUCCCGGGUCUCCAGGAUUGUGCCCUGGGCCAAAGGCAGGCGCCAA